rnacentral:rRNA from 1 species
UACGGAGGGAGCUAGCGUUGUUCGGAAUUACUGGGCGUAAAGCGCACGUAGGCGGCGCAUCAAGUCAGGGGUGAAAUCCCGGGGCUCAACCCCGGAACUGCCUUUGAAACUGCAGUGCUAGAAUCUUGGAGAGGCGAGUGGAAUUCCGAGUGUAGAGGUGAAAUUCGUAGAUAUCGAGAGGAACACCGGUGGCGAAGGCGGCGAUCUGGACGAUGACUGACGCUGAGGCGCGAAAGCGUGGGGAGCAAACAGG